UAGGGAAUCUUCCGCAAUGGGCGAAAGCCUGACGGAGCAACGCCGCGUGAGUGAUGAAGGGCUUCGGAUCGUAAAACUCUGUUAUUAGGGAAGAACAAAUGUGUAAGUAACUAUGCACGUCUUGACGGUACCUAAUCAGAAAGCCACGGCUAACUACGUGCCAGCAGCCGCGGUAAUACGUAGGUGGCAAGCGUUAUCCGGAAUUAUUGGGCGUAAAGCGCGCGUAGGCGGUUUUUUAAGUCUGAUGUGAAAGCCCACGGCUCAACCGUGGAGGGUCAUUGGAAACUGGACAACUUGAGUGCAGAAGAGGAAAGUGGAAUUCCAUGUGUAGCGAUGAAAUGCGCAGAAAUAUGGAGGAACCCCAGUGGCGAAGGCGACUUUCUGGUCUGAAACUGACGCUGAUGUGCGAAAGCGUGGGGAUCAAACAGG
rnacentral:rRNA from 1 species